UACCAGCACCCCGAGUGGUCGGGACGUUUAUUGGGCGUAGAGCGUCCGUAGGUGGCUCUUCAAGUCUGCUGUCAAAGAGUGGGGCUUAACCCUGCAAAGGCAGUGGAAACUGAAAGGCUAGAGAGCCGUAGGGGUAGAGGGAAUUCCCGGUGUAGCGGUGAAAUGCGUAGAGAUCGGGAAGAACAUCGGUGGCGAAAGCGCUCUACUGGACGGUAUCUGACACUGAGGGACGAAAGCUAGGGGAGCGAAUGGG
rnacentral:rRNA from 1 species